CCCAUAUGGGUGCUGGUGCUUGAAGGUGAAGCAUUAGUCUGUUGAGCCAUGGAACCAACCCCAUCCUAUCUUCUAUGCAGCGUGGCUAUUGUAUUUCUUCUUCAUAAGACAUAUAAUUUAUGCCCUAAGAAGUUUACUUGACUUGAUCUGCCGCCUAGAAAGUGAACUUGUGUUUUGUUCACUGCUGCACUCCAGUUCCUAGGCUGUUCAACGGUACAUAGUAGUGUUCAAAAAGUAGUGCAUAUGCAGGAUGCCUUUGGUGUAGUAGCUGAGACAUCACUUGGAACACCCAUGUCUCAUAUCAGAGUGCCUGAGUUUGAGUCCAAGCUCUACCCCCAAUUCCAGUUUGUUGCUGAUGCACACCUAAGGAGGCAGCUGGUUCUGGCUUAGGCACCUGGCCAUCCCUGCCACUCAUACAUGAGAUCUUCAGUAAGGACCUGUGCCAGGUUUGACUUGACCCAGACCUAGCUGUUUUGGGAAAUUGGGGAGUGAACCAGUGGAAGGACUGUCUUUCUGUCUCUGCUUGUCAAAUAAAAUGGAAAAAAUGUGAGGCAAAAAGAAAUAAUGGUUAUAAAAGAAUGGUAAGAAUGAUUGAGCAAAUGAAUGAGGAAAGCAUUGUUCUAAACUCUGGCCGUUUUGUGUCAUUGAUUGUUGAGUUGUGGAAAUCAUUGGUUCAGAUCUCUAGCAGGGAUUCUCUAAUGCUACAGUGAAAUACCUAAGGCUGGAUACUUACACAAGAAAGAUGUGCUUGGGCUUUUGUAAGAACCAACUUUCCCUAGAACUCUCUGGUAGACCAUCAUACCAAAGACCUAAGGUUCUCCCAGUUUGUCCCAUCUCUGCAGGGACUGGCCACCUCCCAGCAUUGCCACAGGAGGACCAAGCCUCCCACACAAGAACCUGCAGCUGCCAAACCACUUCCAAAUCAGAACUCACUCGAGCACUGUAUUAACCAUUCUUAUAGCAUAAAAGGUGGCAGAGUUACCUGUGGUUUCUGAGGUCUGAUUACCAAGUGGCACUGUGUUAGAAAUAGCAGGCACGUCUAUUCUGGGUAUCAGCGAAGAAAAUAACCAUUUAUUUUUGCCAUGAAGAUGGGAAUCUAUGUAUGAUUACCUCAUUCCAAGGGGAAAAUAGGGCUGCAGUUCCUUUUUCGCUUUUUCCCAACAGUUGUGCUCAUGGCUUUGUUCUGAGGUAGGGGUGACAGGCAGGGUGAUUUGUUAGCAACACAGGCAGGUAAGGGAGUUGCUAGUGAAGGACAGUGGAGGACUCGGCUUUUAAAAGAAGGAAAGACAUCUUUUCCUAUUCUUGGUAUGAGUUUAAGGUUCAUACCACUUCCCCUGCUAGCCCUGGCCCAGCACCUGAUCCACUGAGCAGGAUGGGUAGCCAGACCCAGGUGGUUGUCUGGCCUGACAAAUCUUCUAGGAGUACCCUCUUUUGCUCAGUUAGUUCCUAGCACAGUAGGUACAUAAAAUGUCCAGCAGUGUUCUAUCAGGCAUGUUUGGAGGGCUGAGCUGAAUAGGCAAGCCAGGGAAUUGGUCCUCACAAUGCCUUUUGUCUUGGCUUUGUGUACAUGAUGAGGAGUCGCUCUGAGCAGCUUUCAGUAACUGGAAAAAUCUGUGUGAGCCCCUCCACCUGCUUCCUGUCACAGUCCUGCUGGGACCCUGUUGUCCCAGGAAGGCAGAUUAGAGGUGGUGAGUAGAUGCAGUUAUCUGGAUACCUGGUACCCAGAAGCAGGAGACACUUCUGAAUUGCUGAAGAUGCAUCUGCAGAGCUAGAAAGCACUGGGC